GCUGGCCUAGUGGUUAGAGCAUCCGCCUUGGAUGCAGGUGGUCAUUGGUUAGAUCCCCAGUUAAGUCAUACCA